rnacentral:rRNA from 1 species
CCAGACUCCUACGGGAGGCAGCAGUGGGGGAUAUUGCACAAUGGGGGCAACCCUGAUGCAGCGACGCCGCGUGAGCGAUGGAGUACUUCGGUAUGUAAAGCUCUGUCAGCAGGGAAGAGAAUGACGGUACCUGACCAAGAAGCCCCGGCUAAAUACGUGCCAGCAGCCGCGGUAAUACGUAUGGGGCAAGCGUUAUCCGGAUUUACUGGGUGUAAAGGGAGCGUAGGCGGCAGGGCAAGCCUGAUGUGAAAGCCCGGGGCUCAACCCCGGGACUGCAUUGGGAACUGUGCAGCUAGAGUGCGGGAGAGGUAAGCGGAAUUCCUAGUGUAGCGGUGAAAUGCGUAGAUAUUAGGAGGAACACCAGUGGCGAAGGCGGCUUACUGGACUGUAACUGACGUUGAGGCUCGAAAGCGUGGGGAGCAAACAGGAUUAGAUACCCUAGUAGU